AGAAAGAUGCCCGAUUAUAAGGGUUAUUUUGAUGUAAUAAAACAUGUGUUGUCACUCUUUCUA
rnacentral:tRNA from 1 species